AAUCCAUGAUGAGGGCAUUUCCUUAGCAUCAUCUUGACAUGCUCCCACACCUCGUAUAGGGAUUCACCUUCAAAUUGUUUAAAAUUGGUGAUUUCUCUCCUCAACU
rfam:Gossypium raimondii Chr10_contig_619, whole genome shotgun sequence.